ACUCCUACGGGAGGCAGCAGUGGGGAAUAUUGCACAAUGGGGGAAACCCUGAUGCAGCCAUGCCGCGUGUGUGAAGAAGGCCUUCGGUUGUAAAGCACUUUCAGUAGGGAGGAAGGUAGUGUAGUUAACACCUGCAUUAUUUGACGUUACCUACAGAAGAAGCACCGGCUAACUCCGUGCCAGCAGCCGCGGUAAUACGGAGGGUGCGAGCGUUAAUCGGAAUUACUGGGCGUAAAGCGCAUGCAGGUGGUUUGUUAAGUCAGAUGUGAAAGCCCGGGGCUCAACCUCGGAAUUGCAUUUGAAACUGGCAGACUAGAGUACUGUAGAGGGGGGUAGAAUUUCAGGUGUAGCGGUGAAAUGCGUAGAGAUCUGAAGGAAUACCGGUGCGAAGGCGGCCCCCUGGACAGAUACUGACACUCAGAUGCGAAAGCGUGGGGAGCAAACAGGAUUAGAUACCCUGGUAGGAUAGCG
rnacentral:rRNA from 1 species